CAUGCUGAAAACACUGGUUCUCGUUCGAUCACCAAAGUUAAGCAGCGUCGAGCCCGAUCAGUACUUAGAUGGGGAACUGCGUGGGAACACCGAGUACAGU